AGAGACAAAUUCCACCGCUUCGGCCAAAAAUCAAAACAACCCGCAAUCUUUGAAGAUGUGCUCGUACGAUGAAUUCAUGGCUGGGGACUUCUAGCUGCAACCAGGAAAGAACUCAAAUGUGGUGGGUUAACUUUCUUGCCGUAAGUGUUGCGAUGGUGCGGCGAGCAACUCGUCGUUGAGUGGCGCCAGCAAUAUGGAGUCACAAGAGCAAGACAGCAACCUCCCUGGCAUGGCUUCGUGAGCUGGUUGACGGCGAUGAAAGCUCGAGGAAAGGAUGGCAACGGCUCAUCGGGUUUGCCGAAGGACAAAUAUUGCUCGGAGAUUCAAUGGGAUUGUCGGGACGGUGACUGAAUUCGGUCAAGAAAGACCUGCACUAAUAAAAAUUCAAACGAAAGCAAAAUAACUGGAUCGGUGGAAGUCUCGGGCACGUCAAGGACUGCUGUGUUCACCGAAAAACCUGCGAAAAUUCAA
rnacentral:lncRNA from 1 species